GACGAACGCUGGCGGCGUGCUUAACACAUGCAAGUCGAACGGAAAGGCCCUGCUUUUGUGGGGUGCUCGAGUGGCGAACGGGUGAGUAACACGUGAGUAACCUGCCCUUGACUUUGGGAUAACUUCAGGAAACUGGGGCUAAUACCGGAUAGGAGCUCCUGCUGCAUGGUGGGGGUUGGAAAGUUUCGGCGGUUGGGGAUGGACUCGCGGCUUAUCAGCUUGUUGGUGGGGUAGUGGCUUACCAAGGCUUUGACGGGUAGCCGGCCUGAGAGGGUGACCGGCCACAUUGGGACUGAGAUACGGCCCAGACUCCUACGUGAGGCAGCAGUGGGGAAUAGUGCACAAUGGGCGGAGGCCUGAUGCAGCAACGCCGCGUGCGGGAUGACGGCCGUCGGGUUGUAAACCGCUUUCGCCUGGGACGAAGCGUGAGUGACGGUAAUGGGUAAAGAAGCACCGGCUAACUACGUG
rnacentral:rRNA from 1 species